GGGCCGCUGGCGCAACGGUAGCGCGGUUAGUUAUCUCGCCAUAUUAAUCCAGAAACCAUCUGACAUCAUGCAUCAGUUCGACUCCAGAUCGAAAGGUUAUCUGUUCAAAUCAGGUGUGGCUCA